rnacentral:rRNA from 1 species
ACGCGAGAUACACGCGCGCAGAGAGACGCAUCAUAUAGCUCAUAGAACACACGCUCUCUGGAACCUGCACAGGUGCUCCAUGGCUGUCGUCAGCUCGUCCCGUGAGCUGUCGGGUUAAGUCCCUUAACGAGCGAAACCCCUGCGGCCAGUUGCCAACACACCCUGGUGGGGACUCUGGCAGGACCGCCGGCGUGAAGCCGGAGGAAGGUGGGGAUGACGUCAAGUCCUCAUGGCCCUUAUGCCCAGGGCUGCACACGUGCUACAAUGGCGGGGACAAACCGUCGCCACGCCGUAAGGCCGAGCCAACCGCGUAAACCCCGCCCCAGUUCGGAUCGAGGGCUGCAACCCGCCCUCGUGAAGCCGGAAUCGCUAGUAAUCGCGGAUCAGCAUUGCCACGGUGAAUGUGUUCCUGAGCCUUGUACACACCGCCCGUCAAGCCACCAAAAGGGGGGGGCACCCGAAGUCGCCGACGUCUCAUGACGGGCGCCGAAGGUGAAACUCCUGAUGGGAACUAAGUCGUAACAAGGUAACCCGGGCGGCCGCUCCGAGCCCAGGGCG